UACGUAGGGUGCGAGCGUUGUCCGGAAUUACUGGGCGUAAAGAGCUCGUAGGUGGUUUGUCGCGUUGUUCGUGAAAACUCACAACUCAAUUGUGGGCGUGCGGGCGAUACGGGCAGACUGGAGUACUGCAGGGGAGACUGGAAUUCCUGGUGUAGCGGUGGAAUGCGCAGAUAUCAGGAGGAACACCGGUGGCGAAGGCGGAUCUCUGGGCCAUUACUGACGCUGAGGAGCGAAAGCGUGGGGAGCGAACAGG
rnacentral:rRNA from 1 species